rnacentral:rRNA from 1 species
UACGUAGGGCGCAAGCGUUGUCCGGAAUUAUUGGGCGUAAAGAGCUCGUAGGCGGCUUGUCACGUCGAUUGUGAAAGCCCGAGGCUUAACCUCGGGUCUGCAGUCGAUACGGGCUAGCUAGAGUGUGGUAGGGGGAGAUCGGAAUUCCUGGUGUAGCGGUGAAAUGCGCAGAUAUCAGGAGGAACACCAGUGGCGAAGGCGGCUCACUGGCCCGGUACUGACGCUGAGGUGCGAAAGCGUGGGGAGCGAACAGG